AGAUGUGUUGCUGAUGAUCCUCACCAAGUUUCUGGGCCGAUUCAUCACACUGCAGCAGUACAGCCAGUUGCUGCUCCGACUGCAUUUGUCGAAGAAGGCAGCCAUUAGCUUUGAGGAGCUGUGGGAGGCCAUAAGAGAGUCUGGAGCAGGUGGACCAGCCACUUGGUUUAACCCCACCCAGGAUCCCAGCACAGCCACUCCCCUUUCCCCAGCUAAAGUCACAGCCUCCCAGACCCUAUCCCUAUUGCGGGGACAGGCCCAGAACAGAUUUGACAGCGAAGGACUUGGAGCCGUGAACGUGAGAGGUUUGCUAAGGAAACUUGGACUGAGCCAGAGAAAGACCUCAGACACCAACGAUAAUAAUGAUCAAGUUUCAUCUUCUAUCAAUGGUGAAGACACCAAAGCCAGACCCAGGGCCCUGUCGAAGUCGGAGGAGGAGCGUGGGGUAUCCAUUACCAUGGAGAAGUGGCUGAAGGACAAGUUUAGGGAGGGCGUCCAGAGAAUGAAAUCCCAGUUUGACCAACUGGAUCCAGACCAGACCUACAAGGUGGGCCUGGAGGAGUUUCUGCAGGUGCUGAAGACCUUUGGCCUGAAUCUAAAGAGGGAGCAUGUGGGCUUGUUUUUGGCUCGCUGUGGCCUGGGACUCAACAAGACAGGUGUGAUCCAUUACCCAGAGUUCCUCCGCAUGUUUCAGGACCGCAGCGAGGAGGGGGUCACACAUAGGAUCCUAUCCAAUCCACAACACAGGUUUCACCAUAUCCAGGGGAGCAUCAGCCAUGCGUCCACAGUCACCAUGGUGGAGGCUAAACUGGCUCGACUCUUCCAGUCAGAGUACCUCUCUCUGUUAGAAAUGUUUCAGAGCAUUGAUAAAUGCCACAGGAGGGUGGUGAGCCAGGAGGAGUUUCGAGCAGCGAUUGAGAGCAGAUUUGGCCUGGAGGUCGCGGAACCUGAGUUUGACCAGCUGCUGGACAGGCUGCCCCUGGACAAGGACGGAAAUGUCCAGUACCCAGUCUUCAUGGCCGCUUUCGACACAAGGAGAGGAGUUCCCAGCCUUUUCGAGGCAAGUCCUGCGGGGAAUUUGGGGCGUACAAACGAAGAACAGGAGGGGCUAAACGUGCAACUCGAGAAUGAGGAGAGUGGGACUCUGGGACGGGGACGGAGUGUGGCACAGCUGUUCCAGAUCAUCAAGGCCCUGGUGAAGAACCACUACCAGGCAGCAGAGCGAGUCUUUGAGAAGCUGGAUGAGAAGAACACCAAACGUCUCAGUCAAGAGACCUUCUACCAGCUUCUAAAGAGAUUUGACAUCCACCCCGAAGUGAGCCGGGGGGAGAUCCGACAUCUUUGGGUCACUUUGAUUACCAACCAGGACAGGACGCUGGAUUUCUUGCAGCUUGCGCGCCACUUUGGCUACUCUCCCAAGUCCUCGUGCUUUCCCAACGCCAAGCGCAGCCCCCCGAAGAAAGGGGAUGAGAAUCUCCGGCAGUGCUCCAGAAAGCUCCACUGUGUGUCUGACAUACUUGCAGAUGGAGUGCGUGCCAAGGUGGAGCUGUCAUUGGAUGAGUUGCGGGCGGAGUUUGAGGAGUUGGAUCCUUAUAGGACGGGGUUUGUGAGCCAGGAGGAGUUCCAGGAAGUGCUGAAAGGUCUGUGUGUGCACCUCGAUGACUACGAGUGGGAGAUGCUGGCUCAAAAGUUUGACAUCAACAGGGAUGGAAGGGUUUCCUUCGUUGAGUUCCUGAGGCCCUUUGGGAGACGGAAACAGCCGUGGAGGCAUGGAUCCAACAUGGCCGGCAUACUGCAGUUCCAUAACGAAACAGAGGAUCUGUCUGCAGAGAAAGGCUCUUCCUUGUGUGACCAAGUACCACUGAGCUCAAGACUAAGGAAGAAGCUUCAGCGGCAGGGCAAGAUUCUGCGUCGGGCCUUCCACAGGCUGGACAGCUCCGACAGUGGCUACCUCUCCCCAGGCGAGUUCCGAGCGGCUCUGCGGCUGUGUGACGUACCCUUGGACCCGGAGGAGUACUACCAUGUCUUGGCCGGGCUGGACCGAGACCUGGCAGGCCGGGUGGCCUAUCGCCGGCUGAUCCAGGACAUACGCAAGAGAAGAACCUCUGGGACUAGAGUAAAGAGUCAUCAUCAUCCGUCAUAA
rnacentral:lncRNA from 1 species